UGCAAGUCGAGCGGUAGAGAGAAGCUUGCUUCUCUUGAGAGCGGCGGACGGGUGAGUAAUGCCUAGGAAUCUGCCUGGUAGUGGGGGAUAACGCUCGGAAACGGACGCUAAUACCGCAUACGUCCUACGGGAGAAAGCAGGGGACCUUCGGGCCUUGCGCUAUCAGAUGAGCCUAGGUCGGAUUAGCUAGUUGGUGAGGUAAUGGCUCACCAAGGCGACGAUCCGUAACUGGUCUGAGAGGAUGAUCAGUCACACUGGAACUGAGACACGGUCCAGACUCCUACGGGAGGCAGCAGUGGGGAAUAUUGGACAAUGGGCGAAAGCCUGAUCCAGCCAUGCCGCGUGUGUGAAGAAGGUCUUCGGAUUGUAAAGCACUUUAAGUUGGGAGGAAGGGCAUUAACCUAAUACGUUGGUGUCUUGACGUUACCGACAGAAUAAGCACCGGCUAACUCUGUGCCAGCAGCCGCGGUAAUACAGAGGGUGCAAGCGUUAAUCGGAAUUACUGGGCGUAAAGCGCGCGUAGGUGGUUUGUUAAGUUGGAUGUGAAAUCCCCGGGCUCAACCUGGGAACUGCAUUCAAAACUGACAAGCUAGAGUAUGGUAGAGGGU
rnacentral:rRNA from 1 species